UGCCUCAGUAACGGCGAGUGAAGCGGCACAGCUCAAUUUGAAAUCUGGCCUUUACGGUCCGAGUUGUAAUUUGGAGAGGAUGUUUUGGGUACCGCCACGGUUUAAAUUUCUUGGAACAGAAUGUCAAAGAGGGUGAGAGUCCCGUCUUGGACCGCGGUAGGGCCUGUGUAAAACUCCUUCGAAGAGUCGACUUGUUUGGGAAUGCAGGUCAAAAUGGGUGGUAAAUUUCAUCUAAAGCUAAAUAUUGGCCAGAGACCGAUAGCGCACAAGUAGAGUGAUCGAAAGAUGAAAAGCACUUUGAAAAGAGAGUUAAACAGUAUGUGAAAUUGUUGAAAGGGAAGCGCUGGCAACCAGACUCGUGCGCGGGGUUCCCCCUUGCUUCUGCUUGGGUCACUUCCCCGUGUCCGGGCCAUCAUCAGUUUCGGGGGCCGGUUAAAGGCCCUGGGAAUGUACCCACGCCUUCGGGGGUGGACUUAUAGCCCAGGGUGUCAUGCGGCCACCCGGGACUGAGGAACGCGCUUCGGCGAGGAUGAUGGCGUAAUGGUUGUCAGCGGCCCGUCUUGAAACACGGACCAAGGAGUCUAACAUCUAUGCGAGUGUUCGGGUGUCAAACCCUUGCGCGGAAUGAAAGUGAACGGAGGUAGGAAGGCUUAAGCCUGCACUAUCGACCGAUCCUGAUGUCUUCGGAUGGAUUUGAGUAAGAGCAUAGCUGUUGGGACCCGAAAGAUGGUGAACUAUGCGUGAAUAGGGUGAAGCCAGAGGAAACUCUGGUGGAGGCUCGCAGCGGUUCUGACGUGCAAAUCGAUCGUCAAAUUGCGUAUAGGGCGAAAGA
rnacentral:rRNA from 1 species